rnacentral:lncRNA from 1 species
AUGAGUACAGACACAUCAAAUGAACUCGGUCCACAGAAGCCGCACAACGUGGAAGUAGAAGAACCUGGUGAUGUCAACAAUCCAGCACAAUGUAGGAGGAGAGAAGCUGAAGCAGAGCGGCGGUGGCCUAAAAAGCCUGUUAUCCACAGAAGACGGUCCGACACCAGGACACAAGGGUCGAUGGACACGUACGACUUUGAAAAAAUGACGAUUUCAAAGCAAACUGAAGGAUUAUUGUCACAAGGAAAAAAAUCUGAAACCAGAAAGAUUCAUGGACUCAAUCAUCCAAGUAAAGACUUACUUGCGCAACAAAGGGAAGUGGAGAUGAACAGAUUGAUUCAUGCAAAAAAACUCAUGCUACUAGAGACACUACUGAAUCUCGAGGUAAAGGUAAGACAGAAGCUUCAAAGUGUUGAAGCUUCUGCAGGUGAUGACUGGAAACAUAGAGAGCAGAGUCACAACAGGGCCGUUUGGCCACAAACCACGCUGUCUGAGCAGCGCAGGAGACAGGAGGGAGGUCAGCAUCUGAGGGAAAGGCAGCGCCCCAGCGAUGAGAGGAGAACGAGGGACACCUGGAGAUUAGGUGUAAGGCCAGAGCACAGAAGAGAAGUCAAUGAGGCGUCUACAGGAACCAAAUACAAAGCAAAAGAGAUGCACAGGACAGAAAAUGAACAUGAAACGCCUCAGUGGACUCCACACAAACCUGCUGCUUUACGUUCAACAGACAAUCACAGAGCUGCAGAAGGCAAAACCAAAGUCUUCCCUCCUAUUUCUACGCCCUCCUCUUCAAGCAGCUCGCAGCAGCACGAGGUGGGACUGGCACGGAGCACAGACGCCAGCUUCCACCUCCUUCCCUGCAGGAUCUGCAACAGGAAAUUCAUGAGCGCGAGAUUAGAGAAGCACGUCCAGAUCUGUGAAAAGGUGAAGCAGCCGCGUCGACGUGUCUUCAACUCCUAUAUUAACAGGACCAAGGGUUCGGCUAUAGAGGAGUUCUGCAAAACCCACAGCAGAAGCAAGAUUCCGGACGUAUGA